AAAGGUUUGGUCCUAGCCUUAUUAUUUAUUGUUUCUCAACUUACACAUGCAAGUCUCAGCACCCCAGUGAGAAAGCCCUUUCAACCUCCACCAGGUUAAGGAGCCGGCAUCAGGCACAAUUUCUUGCCCACAACACCUAGUCUCACCACACCCCCAAGGGUAAUCAGCAGUGAUAAAUAUUGUUUAUAAGCGACAGCUUGACUCAGUCAGAGAAUAUAGAGCCGGCCAACACGGUGCCAGCCGCCGCGGCUAUACCCAAGGGCCCAAAUUAAUAAUUAUCGGCGUUAAGCGUGAUUAAAGUUCAAAUAAAUUAAGGUUAAAUUAACAUUUAGUAGUGUCAAGCUUGUUGUUAAGAAAUCCACAGACGAAAGUUACCUUAAUAUAUAUAUCUUGAAUACACGACAGCUAGGAACACAAACUGGAAUUAGAUACCCCACUAUGCCUAGCCGUAAACAAUUAACUCACACCAAUAAACGCCAGGGAAUUACGAGCAAUGCUUAAAACCCAAAGGAUUUGACGGUGUCCCACCCCCCUAGAGGAGCCUGUUUUUUAAUCGAUGAUCCCCGAUACACCCGACCACUCCUAGCUAUUAGUCUGUAUACCUCCGUCGAAAGCCUACCAUGUGAACGUUUUCAGUAGGCCCAAUGAUCCCCGUCUAUACGUCAGGUCAAGGUGCAGCUCACGGAAUGGGAAGUAAUGGGCUACAAUUUCUAAACUAGAACAAACGAAAGACUCUGUGAAAUCAUAGUCGCGAAGGCGGAUUUAGUAGUAAAAAGAAAAUAGAGAGUUCUUUUUAACUUGGCUCUGGGACGCGUACACACCGCCCGUCACCCUCUUCAAUUAUACAACUAAAGUCUCUAACCCCACUUUUAACCUUAGAAGAGGCAAGUCGUAACAUGGUAAGUGUACUGGAAAGUGCACUUGGACAUA
rnacentral:ncRNA from 1 species